rnacentral:rRNA from 1 species
AUUGAACGCUGGCGGCAGGCCUAACACAUGCCAGUCGAACGGUAACAGGAAGAAGCUUGCUUCUUUGCUGACGAGUGGCGGACGGGUGAGUAAUGUCUGGGAAACUGCCUGAUGGAGGGGGAUAACUACUGGAAACGGUAGCUAAUACCGCAUAACGUCGCAAGACCAAAGAGGGGGACCUUCGGGCCUCUUGCCAUCGGAUGUGCCCAGAUGGGAUUAGCUAGUAGGUGGGGUAACGGCUCACCUAGGCGACGAUCCCUAGCUGGUCUGAGAGGAUGACCAGCCACACUGGAACUGAGACACGGUCCAGACUCCUACGGGAGGCAGCAGUGGGGAAUAUUGCACAAUGGGCGCAAGCCUGAUGCAGCCAUGCCGCGUGUAUGAAGAAGGCCUUCGGGUUGUAAAGUACUUUCAGCGGGGAGGAAGGGAGUAAAGUUAAUACCUUUGCUCAUUGACGUUACCCGCAGAAGAAGCACCAGCUAACUCCGUG